rfam:Prunus persica cultivar Lovell chromosome G8, whole genome shotgun sequence.
GAUUGAGAUGAGGAUUAGAUUUCGUAUCCCUAUUGGUUUGAACGCCGUGAUGAUGGCGAAACUAUGUAUUAGCUCUAUCUGAUCCUUC